rnacentral:rRNA from 1 species
AGCGAACGUUAGCGGCGCGCCUAACACAUGCAAGUCGCACGAGAAAGGGAGCAAUCCCCGGUACAGUGGCGCACGGGUGAGUAACACGUAGAUGACCUUCCCUGGAGUGGUGGAUAACCUGCCGAAAGGCGGGCUAAUACAGCAUGGGACCACAUGGUUUUGACCGAGUGGUGAAAGCGGGCCUCUGUUCACAAGCUCGCGCUCUGGGAUGGGUCUGCGUCCCAUCAGCUAGUUGGUGAGGUAAUGGCUCACCAAGGCAUCGACGGGUAGCUGGUCUGAGAGGAUGACCAGCCACACUGGAACUGAGACACGGUCCAGACUCCUACGGGAGCAGCAGUGGGGAAUCUUGCGCAAUGGGCGAAAGCCUGACGCAGCGACGCCGCGU